rnacentral:rRNA from 1 species
GAUGAACGCUGGCGGCGUGCCUAAUACAUGCAAGUCGAGCGAACAGACGAGGAGCUUGCUCCUCUGACGUUAGCGGCGGACGUGUGAGUAACACGUGGAUAACCUACCUAUAAGACUGGGAUAACUUCGGGAAACCGGAGCUAAUACCGGAUAAUAUCUUGAACCGCAUGGUUCAAUAGUGAAAGACGGUUUUGCUGUCACUUAUAGAUGGAUCCGCGCCGCAUUAGCUAGUUGGUAAGGUAACGGCUUACCAAGGCAACGAUGCGUAGCCGACCUGAGAGGGUGAUCGGCCACACUGGAACUGAGACAGGGUCAAGACUCCUACGGGAGGCAGCAGUAGGGAAUCUGCCGCAAUGGGCGAGAGCAUGACGGAGCAACGCCGCGUGAGUGAUGAAGGUCUUCGGAUCGUAAAACUCUGUUAUUAGGGAAGAACAAAUGUGUAAGUAAAUAUGCACGUCUUGACGGUACCUAAUCAGAAAGCCACGGCUAACUACGUG